UACGAAGGGGGCUAGCGUUGCUCGGAAUCACUGGGCGUAAAGGGUGCGUAGGCGGGUCUUUAAGUCAGGGGUGAAAUCCUAGGAGUUCAACUCCAGAACUGCCUUUGAUACUGAGGAUCUUGAGUUCGGGAGAGGUGAGUGGAACUGCGAGUGUAGAGGUGAAAUUCGUAGAUAUUCGCAAGAACACCAGUGGCGAAGGCGGCUCACUGGCCCGAUACUGACGCUGGAGGCACGAAAGCGUGGGGAGCAAACAGG
rnacentral:rRNA from 1 species